rnacentral:rRNA from 1 species
AUUGAACGCUGGCGGCAUGCCUUACACAUGCAAGUCGAGCGGAUAAAGGUCUUUGGAUGCUGAAGUGUGGGGAGCGGGGGUGUAUUAUGCCGGAGCGUGUGCGUUGUAGGGGGGUAUAACGUCGGGAGACUUGCUCUUAUCGCGCAUGCGUUCCGGGUGAGAGAAGGGGGGCUCUUCGGAUUGCGCGGUAUGAGAGGCGGCUAGGUCGGAUUAGCUAGUUGGUGGGGUAAAGGCUUACCAAGGCGACGAUCUGUAACUGGUCUGAGAGGAUGAUCAGUCACACUGGAACUGAGACACGGUCCAGACUCCUACGGGAGGCAGCAGUGGGGAAUAUUGGACAAUGGGCGAAAGCCUGAUCCAGCCAUGCCGCGUGUGUGAUGAAGGUCUUCGGAUUGUAAACUACUUUAAGUUGGGAGGAAGGGAAGUAAGUUAAUACCUUGCUGUUUUGACGUUACCAACAGAAUAAGCACCGGCUAACUUCGUG